ACGCGAGGAACCUUACCAGGUCUUGACAUCCUCUGACAACUCUGGAGACAGAGCGUUCCCCUUCGGGGGACAGAGUGACAGGUGGUGCAUGGUUGUCGUCAGCUCGUGUCGUGAGAUGUUGGGUUAAGUCCCGCAACGAGCGCAACCCUUGUCCUUAGUUGCCAGCAUUUAGUUGGGCACUCUAAGGAGACUGCCGGUGACAAACCGGAGGAAGGUGGGGAUGACGUCAAAUCAUCAUGCCCCUUAUGACCUGGGCUACACACGUGCUACAAUGGACGGUACAAACGGUUGCCAACCCGCGAGGGGGAGCUAAUCCGAUAAAACCGUUCUCAGUUCGGAUUGUAGGCUGCAACUCGCCUACAUGAAGCCGGAAUCGCUAGUAAUCGCGGAUCAGCAUGCCGCGGUGAAUACGUUCCCGGGCCUUGCACACACCGCCCGU
rnacentral:rRNA from 1 species